rnacentral:rRNA from 1 species
UACUGGGACUCUAACCAUAGGCCAUGAAGCUGGUCUUGGGACACUGUCAGGUGGGCAGUUUGACUGGGGCGGUCGCCGCCCAACAGGGAACGGGGGCGCUCAAAUGUACUCUCAGUACGGUCGGAAAUCGUACGUAGAGUGUAAAGGCAAAAGAGGGCUUGAUUGCAAGACAUACAGGGCGAGCAAGGAUGAAAAUCGGACUUAGUGAUCCGGUGGUUCUGCGUGGAAGGGCCAUCGCUCAACGGAUAAAAGCUACCCUGGGGAUAACAGGCUUAUCUCCCCCAAGAGUCCACAUCGACGGGGAGGUUUGGCACCUCGAUGUCGGCUCAUCACAUCCUGGGGCUGUAGUAGGUCCCAAGGGUUGGGCUGUUCGCCCAUUAAAGUGGUACGCGAGCUGGGUUCAGAACGUCGUGAGACAGUUCGGUCCCUAUCCGUCGCAGGCGUAGGAAAUUUGAGAAGACCUGUCCUUAGUACGAGAGGACCGGGAUGGACGUACCUCUGGUGUACCAGUUGUCCUGCCAAGGGCAUGGCUGGGUAGCUAUGUACGGAAUGGAUAAGCGCUGAAAGCAUCUAAGCGCGAAG